GCAAGUCGAACGGUAACAUGAGAGCUUGCUACAGAUGACGACCGGCGCACGGGUGCGUAACGCGUAUACAAUCUACCUUUUGCUGGGGGAUAGCCUUUGGAAACGAAGAUUAAUACCCCAUAGUAUGGUUACUUCGCAUGGAGUUGCUAUUAAAGGUUACGGCAAAAGAUGAGUAUGCGUUCUAUUAGCUAGAUGGUGUGGUAACGGCACACCAUGGCAACGAUAGAUAGGGGCCCUGAGAGGGGGAUC
rnacentral:rRNA from 1 species